GUGAAGCGGCAAAAGCUCAAAUUUGAAAUCUGGUACCUUUGGUGCCCGAGUUGUAAUUUGGAGAGUACCACUUUGGGACUGUACUUUGCCUAUGUUCCUUGGAACAGGACGUCAUGGAGGGUGAGAAUCCCGUGUGGCGAGGGUGUCAGUUCUUUGUAAAGGGUGCUCGAAGAGUCGAGUUGUUUGGGAAUGCAGCUCUAAGUGGGUGGUAAAUUCCAUCUAAAGCUAAAUACAGGCGAGAGACCGAUAGCGAACAAGUACAGUGAUGGAAAGAUGAAAAGAACUUUGAAAAGAGAGUGAAAAAGUACGUGAAAUUGUUGAAAGGGAAGGGCAUUUGAUCAGACAUGGUGUUUUGCGCCCCUUGCCUCUCGUGGGCUUGGGACUCUCGCAGCUCACUGGGCCAGCAUCGGUUUUGGCGGCCGGAAAAAACCUAGGGAAUGUGGCUCUGCGCCUCGGUGUAGAGUGUUAUAGCCCUGGGGAAUACGGCCAGCCGGGACCGAGGACUGCGAUACUUGUUAUCUAGGAUGCUGGCAUAAUGGUUAUAUGCCGCCCGUCUUG
rnacentral:rRNA from 1 species